CCUACGGGAGGCAGCAGUGAGGAAUAUUGGUCAAUGGGCGCGAGCCUGAACCAGCCAAGUCGCGUGAAGGAUGAAUGCCCUACGGGUUGUAAACUUCUUUUAUAAAGGAAUAAAGAGAGGCACGCGUGCCUUUUUGUAUGUACCUGAUGAAUAAGGAUCGGCUAACUCCGUGCCAGCAGCCGCGGUAAUACGGAGGAUCCGAGCGUUAUCCGGAUUUAUUGGGUUUAAAGGGAGCGUAGAUGGGUUGUUAAGUCAGUGGUGAAAGUCUGCGGCUCAACCGUAAAAUUGCAAUUGAUACUGGCAGCCUUGAGUACAGUUGAGGUAGGCGGAAUGCGUGGUGUAGCGGUGAAAUGCGUAGAUAUCACGAAGAACUCCGAUUGCGAAGGCAGCUUACUAAACUGCCACUGACAUUGAUGCUCGAAAGUGUGGGUAUCAAACAGGAUUAGAUACCCGGGUAGUC
rnacentral:rRNA from 1 species